GUUUGAGUGCUGAGUGUAUGCGUAAUAAAACAAUAGGCCUUCAGGUGUGCACCCCCGGCGACGCUACGUAACGGAGAGGCACAGCGGACUGCUGGAGUGGGGAAAUAAUGACAGUAACUGGGCACAGUUGUGAGCACAGCCUGAGGAGCAACAGGACUCCAGCCAUCUCUGACAGGAAAAAGUGGAGCAAGAUCCUGACCUGCAGUCCAGGCAACAGCAGCAGAGCUGGUGUGUCAACUGCAAAGCCCCGGGAAGCAGGAGAGCUGAAUGAGGAGAGACGUGUCAACAUAAAUAUUCUUGCAGUCGUUCUGUUCACCUCAUGUGACUUUACCUUCAAUGGAAAUGUUCAGUUUAAUGUUAAUAAGUUCAGGGUGAGACAAGAACCCCUCCACUUCCAGUCAGUAUUUUGCUCAUCUUUUCAUAAUAGGAACUGUUCUCAAGGCCAAGAUUCUUCUUACAUUGUUGAACAUUCUUUCUUGUGAUUAUGACUAAGAUGGUGGCACAAAAGGGAGGUCUAAGUAUUCCUGCACUACUAGUGGCACACUAAUGAGAAAUAAAUGUUUUAGUUCUUAUAGUCUUUUAUUACAGGCUGCUUUGAAUACUUGAUUCUUCCUGGCUAAUUACAGUAUUUCAACGUCUGUGAUUUCUUUGUAGCAGACUGUUGCUAAGAAAAACAAACCAUUUCAAGGGACACUGUUCUGAUCACAGACUCAAUCUGCAGGAAGAAGACAGGUAGAGAUGUAAGAAAAGUGUGGAUUAAACAUAGAACAGGUUAAAUAACACAAUAUGCUGUUGGCUAGGACCGAAAAAUUGACUACAUUAAAGAGACAUGAUGAAAAAACUGA